GACGAACGCUGGCGGCGUGCUUAACACAUGCAAGUCGAGCGGUAAGGCCCUUUCGGGGGUGCACGAGCGGCGAACGGGUGAGUAACACGUGGGUGACCUGCCCUUAGCUCUGGGAUAAGCCUGGGAAACUGGGUCUAAUACCGGAUAUGACUCCAUGACGCAUGUUGUGGGGUGGAAAGCCUUGUGCGGCUAGGGAUGGGCCCGCGGCCUAUCAGCUUGUUGGUGGGGUGAUGGCCACCAAGGCGACGACGGGUAGCCGGCCUGAGAGGGCGACCGGCCACACUGGGACUGAGACACGGCCCAGACUCCUACGGGAGGCAGCAGUGGGGAAUCUUGCGCAAUGGGCGAAAGCCUGACGCAGCGACGCCGCGUGAGGGAUGACGGCCUCGGUGUAA
rnacentral:rRNA from 1 species